rnacentral:rRNA from 1 species
GACGAACGCUGGCGGCGUGCUUAACACAUGCAAGUCGAACGGAAAGGCCCUGCUUUUGUGGGGUGCUCGAGUGGCGAACGGGUGAGUAACACGUGAGUAACCUGCCCUUGACUUUGGGAUAACUUCAGGAAACUGGGGCUAAUACCGGAUAGGAGCUCCUGCUGCAUGGUGGGGGUUGGAAAGUUUCGGCGGUUGGGGAUGGACUCGCGGCUUAUCAGCUUGUUGGUGGGGUAGUGGCUUACCAAGGCUUUGACGGGUAGCCGGCCUGAGAGGGUGACCGGCCACAUUGGGACUGAGAUACGGCCCAGACUCCUACGGGAGGCAGCAGUGGGGAAUAUUGCACAAUGGGCGGAAGCCCGAUGCAGCAACGCCGCGUGCGGGAUGACGGCCUUCGGGUUGCAAACCGCUUUCGCCUGUGACGAAGCGUGAGUGACGGUAAUGGGUAAAGAAGCACCGGCUAACUACGUG